rnacentral:rRNA from 1 species
GAUGAACGCUAGCUACAGGCUUAACACAUGCAAGUCGAGGGGUAGCAGGGUAGCAAUACCGCUGACGACCGGCGCACGGGUGAGUAACACGUAUCCAACCUUCCCAUAACUCAGGAAUAGCCUUUCGAAAGAAAGAUUAAUACCUGAUAGCACUUAAGAAAGGCAUCUUUUUUAAGUUAAAGAUUUAUCGGUUAUGGAUGGGGAUGCGUUCCAUUAGAUAGUUGGUGAGGUAACGGCUCACCAAGUCUUCGAUGGAUAGGGGUUCUGAGAGGAAGGUCCCACACAUGGGUACUGAGACACGGACCAAACUCCUACGGGAGGCAGCAGUGAGGAAUAUUGGUCAAUGGGCGAGAGCCUGAACCAGCCAAGUAGCGUGAAGGAUGAAGGUCCUAUGGAUUGUAAACUUCUUUUAUAGUAGAAUAAAGUGAGCCACGUGUGGUUUUUUGUAUGUAUACUAUGAAUAAGGAUCGGCUAACUCCGUGCCAGCAGCCGCGGUAA